UCCUACGGGAAAAAGCCAAAAAAAAUCGGGCCUUGCGCUAAUACAUGAGCCUAAGUCGGAUUAGCUAGUUGGUAGGGUAAAGGCCUACCAAGGCGACGAUCUGUAGCGGGUCUGAGAGGAUGAUCCGCCACACUGGGACUGAGACACGGCCCAGACUCCUACGGGAGGCAGCAGUGGGGAAUAUUGGACAAUGGGGGGAACCCUGAUCCAGCCAUGCCGCGUGUGUGAAGAAGGCCUUUUGGUUGUAAAGCACUUUAAGCGAGGAGGAGGCUACCUAGAUUAAUACUUUAGGAUAGUGGACGUUACUCGCAGAAUAAGCACCGGCUAACUCUGUGCCAGCAGCCGCGGUAAUACAGAGGGUGCGAGCGUUAAUCGGAUUUACUGGGCGUAAAGCGUGCGUAGGCGGCCUAUUAAGUCAAAAUGUGAAAUCCCCGAGCUUAACUUGGGGAAUUGCAUUCGAUACUGGUUGGCUAGAGUAUGGGAAAAGGAUGGUAGAAUUCCAGGGUGUAGCGGUGAAAUGCGUAGAGAUCUGGAGGAAUACCGAUGGCGAAGGCAGCCAUCUGGCCUAAUACUGACGCCUGAGGUACGAAAGCCUUGGG
rnacentral:rRNA from 1 species